rnacentral:rRNA from 1 species
AUUGAACGCUGGCGGCGUGCUUAACACAUGCAAGUCGAACGAAGUGGCGAACGGGUGAGUAACGCGUAAUCAACCUGCCCUUCAGAGGGUGACAACAGUUGGAAACGACUGCUAAUACCGCAUACCGAAGAAGGGGAUUGCGUCUGAUUAUCGCGGUGGAGGGGUAACGGCCCACCAAGGCGAUGAUCAGUAGCCGGUCUGUGGGGAUGAUCGGCCACAAUGGGACUUAGACACGGCCCAGACUCCUGCGGGAGGCAGCAGUGGGGAAUCGUCCGCAAUGGACGAAAGUCUGACGGAGCAACGCCGCGUGAGGGAUGACGGCCUUCGGGUUGUAAAGCUCUGUUAAUCGGGACGCGGUACCGGAAUAGAAAGCCACGGCUAACUACGUGCCAGCAGCCGCGGUAAUUC